rnacentral:rRNA from 1 species
GAUCAUGCUCAGGAUGAACGCUAGCGACAGGCUUAACACAUGCAAGUCGAGGGGCAGCGAGGGAGUGGCAACACUUCUGUCGGCGACCGGCGCACGGGUGAGUAACGCGUAUGCAACCUGCCCUUCACAGGGGGAUAACCGGGAGAAAUUCCGACUAAUACCGCAUACGUCCUCCGGGGGCAUCCCCGGGGGAUGAAAGAAUUAUCGGUGAAGGAUGGGCAUGCGUGAUAUUAGGUAGUUGGCGGGG